UACGGGGGGGGUAAGCGUUGUCCGGAAUUAUUGGGCGUAAAGAGCGUGUAGGCGGUCCGGUAAGUCAGCUGUGAAAGUCAAGGGCUCAACCCUUGAAUGCCGGUUGAUACUGUCGGGCUAGAGUCCGGAAGAGGCGAGUGGAAUUCCUGGUGUAGCGGUGAAAUGCGCAGAUAUCAGGAGGAACACCGGUGGCGAAGGCGGAUCUCUGGGCCUUACCUGACGCUGAGGCGCGAAAGCUAGGGGAGCGAACAGG
rnacentral:rRNA from 1 species